AUUUGUGAAAUUAUGGAAAAGGACACCGUGAUACCAUUUCGACAGGGAUGCAGUUUCGGUCAACCGCUAUUUCAGUGAUAACACGAAACGGAGAUAUCAUUAAAUUCGACAUAUAUAUAGUUCAACGCCAUAUAUCUAAUUUCUUAUCUGUUGUCCAGGUGACGUUGCCUCCGGAUCGGAUAUAUACCUGACCUAUAUAUCACUAUGUCUGCCUUGCUCACGACAGCGACCUAAUUUUGAUUGCUCGCUUUUGUUGAAAGAGGCUAAUUGCUCGCUUUGGCAAAGAAAAGACAAAACUCACAAGAGCCCUGAUGCAAGAUGGUUAUCAGCACUGCUUUUUCAAUUAUCAAACAGUGUUUUUUUCUUACAACAAAUCUCAAGGUACAUUAAUAAUACUAUUAAUAAUAUAUUAUCUUAACUGAAUGCUAUUUUCUUGUAAGAAAGCGAGUUUGGUUGGUCGAGGGUUUGAGGGUACGUCUAGACCGUCUAGGGCAGCACAUGUGAAUUAUAGUUGAGACGUCAUCAAUGUGAAACCGAUAGAGAAAUCACUGCUACAUAGACGACCUAUAGUCCCGAUCGGGAAGGGGGCUGUAGCCCCGGUUCCCGAGCCGAGACUACGAUUCUAGAACUAAAAGCCACUCUUUAGUCCCGACCGAUAACACCAGCCAGGACUAAAGGUGCUGCCAGCGGUGCCACACAGCAACAUCCUUUAGUCCUGGCUGGUAUUACAAGCCGGGACUAAAGGGUCCCCUGGUUUUUUUUCUUUUCUUUUUAGUUAUGUUUUUAGUUUUAUUUAUUUAUAUAUUAGGUUUUGCAAUAUGUAUUCUUUGCUAAUGUGUGUAUAUAUAUAUACAUAUAUAUUAGCAGCAUAUAAGAGUAACCUUUAGUGCUUGCAUGCAUAUAUAAUUGAAUUAUAGAACUGCAUAUAUAUAUAAAUAUGUUCACAUAAAAUUACAAGCUAUAUAGAAGUUGUUCUCCAAAUCUAUUAAACAAGUUGUACUCUAAAUCUAUUACAAGUUGUACUCCAUCCAAAGAUCUACAGGGCAUACAAAUGAUCAUCUUUGUUCGGAAUCAACGUCUCGUUGGUAUUAUGGUAGAACUCGCCGUUUGGAUUUAUGACUUGUUCCUGAAAUCCUGCUAUUGUCUCUUGUAUUGUUUGGAAUUGGUCUUGUAGCAUGACUUUUUGCUUCAACCAUUCAGUCUUCAUUUUGAAUUAAAACAGAUAUUACUUGUAACACCCGAUUUUAAGGACCAAACUAGAUAUGCAUCAUAUGUGAGGUCUAGAAGCCAUAUCUCACAUAUAGCUACAAAUGUGAGGUAAUAUCAAAAGACAAUGCAUAAAUUAUAUAACGUACAUAAUAAAUCAGAAACAAUCUUAGGCAGCAAACCACGAAAAAUAACUCUAAACUUUGGGUAUUAACUUCACUCCACAGGAUCCAACUGACUGGUUGAUCACAAGCCCAAUACUUCUUCUGAGGAGUGGGGAGAUAGCAAGAGUGAGUCCAAGACGAACUCCACAAGUAUAGCUACUAGAUUGUAUAGAUCCCACGGUCUCAUGAUCAGUGUGGAAAAAAUAAUAUAGAGCAUUAAACAAUAAACAUGGAGUAUAUUAACACAACAAGAUUCAUCACCCUUAAUGUAAGAAUCCCCAAAGCCGCUCUUGACCGUGAGCACGGCUAGUAUACCAGUUUAAUAAACACUCUGCAGAGGUCGUACAUCUUUGCCCAUGAGUCAUGAUUUACCCUUUCGCCCGAGGUAGCUAACCUCUUAACCCCCUUCCUUGGGAGGUCGGCAGGGAUCACUAUGAAGCCUUUUAAAGGAUCGUCUAACAAGUUUGCGCCGCUUGG
rnacentral:lncRNA from 1 species